ensembl:lncRNA
UGUAAAAUAAUCAGUAGUUUCUCUAUUAUGUUUAAUCUGAAGUUCGACUAAAUUCCAUCAAAAGCCUGGUACUUGUUUUAAGAUGGGCAAUGCAGCAGUGUUACCAGAGGCUGAGUGAAGCAGAGAGGAGGGGGAGAGAAAAUAACAACAAUAACUUUGAAGAUUCCAGGUCGCAUCGAAUGUGUGAGAAAAAAAACAACAACCUGUGCCUUCAGAGUGUUUCCAUUUAUUUUCCUUCACACUCACAUGUGCACACACACGCACGCACGCACACACAGUAAUAAAACCGCAAGGUACAUGCAAUCUGAGGGUUGGCUAAGCCACAUGAGGUAAACACAGGCACGCGCUGGGAGAAAUUAUUCUGAUAUUUGGUCCUGAAUGAAGUUGGACCUUCGGUGGGGGGAAAGAGCUUUUGUGGCGUUUAAGGCGUGUGCGUUUUCUCACGCUAAGCACAGCGUUGGCAGCUCCUCCACAUCUGGGUGUGAAAUCUUGUGUUAACAGGACUUGGUAUGGAGUUUAUGUCGCCGCUGAAAGUGACGAGGAACACCCAGCAUCAACCAGCUGUGUCUGUCUGCAGGGGAUGGGGGGGGGGGGGGCCUCGGCCCCCCCGGCAUGUUUGUGUGUGUGCGUGGAGCUAUGUGCACGGUGGGGUUUAACAUAAAGCCUAAGCUCAAAAUCAGCAAAGAUGAAAACAUGUAAAGGGACAUCCUAUCAAAUUAUUCAUGGUUAUACUUUCCAUGAACUGAAACAUAAUGGAUAGUGGGGGUGGGGCUGCGGAACAGACACGGGCCCCAUGGUAACCUUCUGAGAUGAGAAAAGAAACUGAAUCAAUACCCAUACCGUUGACACCAUGUGCCAGAGAUUGAUACUCUGCUCACGCAAAUUAAAUGUACACGCCUUUCUAAAUUCAACAAUAUUGUUGUUGUGGAACUAAGCCAUUGCAAACUUAGAUUGUGUCACAGGCGUUGAAGAAUACACACGCCUCAAACCUUCGGGGUACUGAUCGGUAUCUGAGACCCAGGCUAAUGCCAAUUACUGGGUACCCCGGUCCAAUGAUUACCACACACAGACAAGUGAGAAUCUCCCAGAAUCUCCCGGAAUGCUGAACAAAUGCCCUUGUUUGUCAGAGGCGGAGCCUGUUGUGGAGCGGGAUGUAAGGCAGGGCUGCUCUUCCUGCCUCGCAAAGACUCAAGCAGCACGGACUAAUGCUUUGGUGAAAACAUUAGUGGAACAAAAAAGGACUAGUUUAACAGCUGGAUCAACUAAUAAAGGAAGGGUCCAAAUGCACUUGCAAAGUCAGGGCCACAUCAAUGGGGGGGGGGGGGGGGGUCUUGACAACUAGUCCGACUAUUUAAGGGGUCAUGAGGGCACUUUCACAACCCUAAAGGGAAUUUGAACCAAUUGGAGAAGGGAUUUGUGUUCACAGCUAUUUAAUGUCAAGUCAAGCUGAAAAAGUUUCAAACACUAGCGGGGGUGGAAGCACACAAGUGGAUGAACUCCUGGAGCCUUACUAUGAAUAAUCAAAUUGCCAUCGUUUUCAUUUUUAGUUGAAGUAUGGAAGUUUUGUCUCUCCCCUCUGGCAAAGAGAGUAAUUGCCACAUGGGAGACACCAUAGUGACAAAGCACACUUUGCAGUACACAGAAAGCUGUGGCAAUAAAGCCUGAGGAAAUGUCUCAGAUAGGUUUAUGGAGUGGACACUCCAGCUAAAAACAACCUUUGAGUACAAAGUACAGAAUGGCCACAGAUGGGAAUUAGCUGACGAUUGAUUUUUGAUUGAAUUUUAUAUGGAAGGUGUUAACGCUCAGCUAAUCAACAAGUAAGUUAUAUCCUUUUAUCUACGUUUUUUAUAGGAACGGACCCUGCAUAUCUUUCAUUAAUUCCAAAACUAAUAGCAUAUAUGGCGUCCAAAAGUGUCACUGGGACAGGUAUUGGAGUAAUACCCAUUGACAUGAGUCAGAUCCUAAAUCCAAUCUCUGAGUGUGUUUUAUCACCAUUCAUCAUGUGUGAUAGAUUUAGUCCAAAACCAACUCCAACUUGUUUUUAGGUACAAUUUUCUAGGUCUCGUGGCUUGUAGAGUUAAUGAUGUGGAUAAUGCUGAAUUAAUUAUGUGUUAGCGUCCCGAUUGGAUUUGCCAGCACGUUUUCUGCUCUUUCUGCCAUCCUUUUAAAGCCGUUCUGAAAUGACAGACUCACUUAAAAAAAGAGAGAAAUUGACGUUAAUUACCUUCACUUUCAGUAAUGCCAAGUAUCAAUGAAGCUUAGGCGAAAAAUCAGUCAGGAAGACUGGACAGGCUGUGCCGUUCCCUGGUGGCCUCCUCUCUCCCUGUGGGUGCACGGGCAGCUGAUCAGGGACGGGUGAAACCAGCCAACCAGACGUGGGGGCCGUUAACGUAAACCAAUUGAAUCUGUGCUGGCAAACGUUAAAAAACUGUUCCUCUUUGAUGCUGUCAGUUUUCAUUUCAGCACACACCAAAGGCGAAGCAAAACGGGAGUCCGAACUAGCACGAGCUACUCUGGGUAACAGGAAGAGCACUACACCCAGUACGUGUUCUCCACCAACCACUCCGGGCCCAUCGAGGACGGACACCUCCACCCUACAAGCACGGGUCAGCUCAAGACCUGGGAAAUGUGGCGCCUAUUCUAACCCUGUUUAUAAUAAAGCAUUGUUAAAAUUUCUACAAGUCUCUCCGGAUUGAAUUAGCAUUGCAGCCUUAUGGAAGACGUUUGCAUUUAUCCACGAUAUACAAAUAAACCACAGGCAACAAGACAACCUAGUGAGGUUGAGGGAGACAUCGCUGCAAUAGUUCAAAUUACUACAUAAAAUCAAUAAACGUCGAUGGUACAUAUUAUUUCAAUUGACGCACUAAAAGAAAAGAUGUUAAGUUAUUUAAUCCAGAUUCCAUCAUCAGAAUACAUUCAUAAAGAUCAUCCAAAGAGCAUCAAACAUCUCCCAUGUAACAUCUUACAUCUUCUAGGUGAUAGAACAAAGGCUUUUGCUUUGGUUGGCUAACUACAUCAUCUCCUCAAUACAUUUGUCUUGUCCACUCAUGUCAUCCUUAAUUGUGUUUAGAAAUGUGUGUUCCCUGAGCAGUGCGCUUCCUUGGCAGCGUGUCCUCACUUCACUCUGCGCGUGUUACUGUCUCCCUCCAGCAAGCAACGCAGCAUCACCACGGGAGAAGGUGGAUGACAAGCAGGCUAACCAACAGCUCGAGAAGCUAAUUAAAGAGUGGUGUUACACACAUUUAGAAAAAGGACAAAUGCUUUGUGUUUAUGAGUAAGCGUCACUCAACUUAAAUCAUUAAACAUUCAUUUUACAUUGUUCAUUCUGUGCACAUGACAUCUGUUGUACUUCUCUAUUCCUCCUGUCUCUCUUCCAAAGGUUUCUUCUUUUUGUUCUCCCUGUUAAAGGUUUCUUUUUGUUCUGGGAUGCUUUUCCUGUGCCGAUGUGCGUACGGAUUUUAAAGCCCUCUGAGGCAAAUUUGGCAUUUGUUGCUGUUCAGAAUAGAUUGAAUUGGGUUGACAUCAAACAUUGAAAUGUGUUAAUUUGCCAAAAUAUAGUACAUAUGUCAUGUCUUGUAAAGAACUCUUCUCUGUGGCUAACAUUGAAUGAGAUAUUUUUUAUUUUUUAUAUUUUCGACCCACUGAAAACACACUUUCUCUCUUCAAGAUAGCCCUGCCCAAAAGCUUUACUCUCUGAAUCGGGGCAGUCUUUUACUAAAUUAACAUUAAUGAGCGACGACCCCUGGCUCCUCAUCAAACUACUGCACAGGUUGAAGUUGUUUUGCACCUGCAGCAUCGUCACUUCUGGCAAAAACAAAAAAGCUAAAUAAAGUUCCCGUCAAUGUUCAGAUGCAACGUGUAGAACUGAAAAAAAGUUGUUACCGUCAAGAAAGUUGUAUUAAACUCUUUUAUUUCCGUACUGGUUGUGCUAUAUUUACUUUUACCUCAGCUGUGACUUUGACAUGUUGCUCUGCCUACAGGUAUGGUGAUGUGCUGAUUCAGGGACGAGACGGAGGCCACAACACAAACUAUCUGUGCCUAUCUUCAGUUUUCAUGCUGGGAACGACCUUGUGUUCAUCCUUUUCGUCAAAUACGUUGAAGCUAAAGAAUUCCAUUGGCGGCUUUAGAAUCCAUUUCCACAGUGUUGAGAUCCAUCUUGUGUUGAGAGCCUCUGUUCCCUCAUUCCAGUGACCCCCUCCCCUGCAACUAUCGCUUAGAGACAGUGCAGAAUAUAGGGGGAUAUUCAAAUUCAAUCCAGAUUCCACACAUCAAAAGAAUGUUCAAGCAGGUAAUGUAAAAAAUAAAGAAAACCUCUGAGAUCUUAGAAAUGAGUUCAAUCUGGAAAAACGUAUAAAAGAAGCUGUAUCGUCCAAAAAAAAAGUCCUACCACCCACAACCAAUGUCAAGUCAAAUGGACUCCAGGCGCACUGUGAGGUCGGAUGUGAGGGUUCUCUUGGUGGUGGAUGGAUGAAGACGAUGAAGAUGUGGCGGCAGACCGGACAGUACUUCUGGUUCCAGUGAUGGAGCCAUCCAAAAAAACAGCCAGGAUAUCAAAUGUUCAAAGGUUUUAUCAUCUUUCCCGAAACCCCCAACGUUAAAUGGCGCAUGCUUCGAAUUAAAGUUGUUAAUUUUUUGAUGAAUCAUAGGUUUUCUGCUUACUCUUAACUACCUUCAUUAAAACAAUCGGUGGAGAAAACAAAGAUCGUCUAUAAAGAGACAGAUGAUCACUUAAAUAAAUAUCUGUGCCUGGAAUGACAAAGAUUGACUAUUAAGGAAAAGAUGAACUAUUUUCCUGGUUAAACAGGGAAAAUGUUACACCUUAUUUAAUUUACAUAUGAACAGUAACACAUUUUCAAACCCUGGUAACACCAGCAUCAAACAAAUCCAUGAAGCUUUUGCUGGUGUGCGAGCUGCCGUUUGGUAACUCUGGAAAAAGAAGCAGUUGUUACAUUUGGUUCUUUCAAACCGUCCCUCUCCGUGAGAGAGGGUUGCAUUGAUCCUGGUUUCCUGAGUCUAAAUCCUCAAAAUGAUCCGCGUCAUGUUGGCCUACUUCAUCAACUUGUUUGGUCGCAACGCACAACGGAAUCACUUUCUACACGAUGACGGCAAUGUCACAAACAAGUAUUUAACAACAAAUGUUCCUGAGGAUUUCUCUGCGUCGAUGUCAAGAUUCUGUGACGCGCUGUGAGGCCUUCACUGCCAGUUGCUGUCAGAAAGUGCAAAGUGUUUUCCCCCAGCAGACGAGCACGUGGCAGUUAGGAGAGGAGUCGGCCAGUGUCUGCUGUGUUGACGGGUGAGGGGGAGAGCUGAAAAGUUGCAACUGAAUCUACGCUACUCAUAUAAAAUUAGGGCUGUCAACAUAAACGUGAUUAAUGCAACAAAAUAUUUUAGCUUAGUUAGCGUAGCUUUGUUGACAGUGGAAACAAAACAGCCGCCUGCUGCAGUCGGUUACAUCGGAGAAAGCAAGACGGUGGCUUCUUUGCAUUGGAAGUAAAACGAACAGGGGCGACAUACAGCGGAGAACUGUGCAGAGAAAUUCCUCCAUAUGUUAAACACAAGCACCGCUAUGAUAAACUAGCUGUUUGUUUAAGCUAGCUGGAAGAGUUGCUAGUUCGACAUGUUCCAAUUUAAUUUCAAUUCUGCCUCCAAGAUGAUCAAAUGUGUGUAGUUUUGUGUUAAACAUAAACAAUUAAACAACAGUGUCUAAAAUACACGUUUUCUAGUGUGAUUACUCAUUAUUUAUAAUAGUAAGUCUUUAGAAAUAAAACAAACAUUCAUUAAACAACUUUUAUUAAUAGCCAUUAAUCGAGAAUAUGAAUUUCAAAAUGUGCAAUUAAUUAGUUAUCUAUCCAUUUAUUGACAGCCCUAUAUGAAAUACUUUCUCACACACAAUUCCACACUGUGAAAGUACUCCUGGUUUCAAAAUUGUACAAAAUAUAUGUAAAAAAGCUUGAAAUAUUCUGUAAGUACCAAAGUAAGAUAAAAAAAACAUCAUGCAGAAUAUUUUUUAUUUUCAUGUAACAUAUUUGUAACUAACCGAGUUUGUGAGUAUUGGAGAAGGUUUUGCGUUUGGCCUUUAUUAUAUGUUUUUUAGAUGAUUUUGUUGUGCAUUUCCUGUUUCGAGUUUGAUUUAUUUUGAAGGCAGGGCUUAGGUAAAAAAUGGAAGUCAGUUGGAAAAGGAAUAGAAAAAACUGUGGUCAGUUAACGGACAGUUACGGUAUUAGUGCCUCCUCCCUUACGGUUGUUUGUGUGAUUUAAAAAAAUAAAUUGUACAAUCAAGCAGUAAAGCGUCAGACGAUCUGUCGGGAGGGAUAUGCUACAAUAUGUCAAAUAAACAGGUGAUUGUAUAACCAUAGCUAUUAUUCAAAGAGUAAAAGUUGAGUUAAUUUCAGAUAUCUGAUGAACUGCUUUAUAAUACUGGAUCAUGAGUAUAUUGUAUAUUUACUCUAGAAGGUAAUUAGAAACUUCGAUAAAACAAAAUUAAAAAUAAAAUACAUGAAGUGGAGUGGAGGGUAGAAACGUACCUCAAGAUGUUGGAUUCAGUAAAUGUGCGUUAUGGUAUUUUUUAGCUUUCUGGCUCCUCCCCUAAACCCAUUGGUUUGACACUGUCGUCUUGAAGCCAAACGCCCUGCUCAGAAAAUCUCCCCGCUCCAAACAUAGUCAUAGAGCUUACGCAAAAUGACACCAACAUUGUUGUCAUGAUCAUGUCUUCGCUGUCAUUCCUCCCAGUGAUUGUCGUAGGGUCGUAAGUCCUUCUCUGUUGAUAGCAUGGCGGCGGCAUAAGUAUUUUUUGGAGAGAUAUGGUUAUUUGGAACUGUGGCAGGCAUAGCGAGGUCAUGUUAGACAUUUCAUAUGGUCUGUUGAUUUCCUAAGAACAGAUAAUGACCAAAAAGUGCACGGCCUUGUGUCACAUAAAUAUGAAUUGUGCAAAGUCUUGAGAGCAACUUAGGCCCCACUGAGGUGUGAAUAAUAUCAGUUUGCAUUUGUAAACCAGAAAUGUAUUUCCCUUUGUUCGUCCCCUCACCAUCUGGUUACCAAAAAUGGGGAUAAGACCUCUGCUCUCAGGAUGUGGGGGAAAAGGUGUGCACACUGCAGGCUGCAUGAAUGCUCAUCCCAAUCAUCUUGUUUUCCUCUAAAGCUCAGGCAAAGAUCCUUGUCUUUGAUUUUCACCUGAGUGAGAAGAUUUCUCUCACAACUUUCUGUGUUUGCCUGGAUUUGUUUUCCCUUUUCCACAGUCUGCACUAUGACGUAACAAAGAGACGAGAGAGGAGGGGAUCUGAUGAGAGUAGGCAGAGGGCAGGCAGGAUUGAGGCAGAUAGACAGAGAGACACGACCUGUAGAUCCCAACAGUCAGCCCGGGUGAGGGUCCAUCCAAGCAGCCAGUGUCCAUCUGUCCACCAGAUCUCGUUUGAUGUCUCCUGCUGGCUUUCUCUACAUAUAGACUACAUGAAUAACUAAUCAAACCAUUAUUCGCAUCUGCUUCCUCUCUUUGAUGUCAUCAUUGUUUAGGUGUGUUGUGGACUUAUUGGACUAAAGAGUCUAGUUUGUGUGUGGUAUUAGUGAGAUAGUGUGUGUGUGUCUACGACUAAUUAUGUGAAAAACUACGCAACACAAGAUGAGAAAAAAAUAGGGGUGUAACAAUUCAUUUUAACAACGAUUCGAUUCGAAUCGCAAUUCAUGCGAAGAAUUUCAUUUUCAAUGUAAACAUUACACAAUAAUUAAAAAAAUGUUUGGAUCAAUUCACAGAACCCCGGAUUUUCAACCACAUUGUAGGGUCGCAUGUCUUUACAGAUAAACUUGGCAAUUGUUACUGUGAUGUUGAGUUUAGUGCUGGCGGCCUGAGGUGUCUGCAGAGCUGGAGUUACCUGCUGCUGCUGCUGCAGCGGUAACGCUGCUAGAGGUCCUGACUGUCGGCGUUGUUUAAUCCCACGGCGCCUUAGUAGAUGGCCGGAAAGAUUCGUCGUGUUUCCGUGUUUUUUUAUUUGUCUUCUACAUAUUCUACAAACAGCGAGCGACUUAUUUAGAACACCUCCGUGUUUGCAAAAGCCAAAAUGUUUCCACACGCUGGAUCGAUAAGUUGGUUUGUAAAUGUCUCGCUCGCAGUCGUCUCCCCCACGCUGUGUUUUGUUGUUGUUUCGCGCGGCUGCCGCUGCGUACUGAUGACGUCACAGACAGACAGACUGAAUCGAGAAUCUGAACGUUUAACGUGUCUAAAGUGCUAAAAAACAAACACACACACACACACACAUCCAUACCGUUUUUGUACUCAAAUCCAAUGUGCAGUUUCCAAGUAUCGAUACAAUCGAUUAUGUACCAUUUCAAUCGAUUUGUAAUCAAUAUAUGUCGUCCGGAAUGCCGAUUUGUGGAGCACAGAUCAAUUCAGUUGGAUGGCAGGAAUAUAAAUCGAUUAAUCGAUUCAGUGAAUGAAUCGUUACACCCCUAGAAAAAAGGUAAUCAAACUAUCCAAACCGGAUAACAGCCCAAAAACAUUUUAUUUAUUUAGGAUAUGUUUUUUCACAUUCCGAUUCUAAUGUCUAUAUAUUCCGACAAAUAAAGUGCGCUCUUUCAAAUAUUGAAAGAGCGCACUUGUAUUACCAUGCUAUUAUAUUGUCAUUAUUUUAUCAGUGGCAUAAAAUGGUCUGAAAAUUGCCAUAAUAUUGUUUAUCACAAUUAAUGUUGGUGCAAUAAUCGCACAACACAAAUUUAAAAUUGUGACAGCCCUAUUGUUGGCCUUAACACCUCUCCCACUUCUUGGUUGGCCAACCUCAGCAGACUGACAUGUGAUAGUCUGAAGCUUUAUGCACUUCAUCCGGGCCCCCAGACCCUUAAAUGUGGUUGUUUUGCUCCCCCUGUCUCUAUGUUCCCUAACCCUCUUCCAGUUUGAUCACUGGAAGAUGUACACCUGCUUGUCCUCAGUGUGACAUAAUGGACUGAGCAAUCUGGAUUAUCGUUCUUGUGGUUUGAAUGCUUUUUAAAGUGUGAUGCCCUUUUUGCUAGAUCCAGUGUGGUUUUUGCUAGAUAUUUGGAACCUAAUAGCACAUGUCUCCACUUGAGUUCGUCCUUUGUCAUUUCGGUGAAUAUAGCUGCAUUAGCGGGUGUAGGAGUCAUGCAUUCACACCCUUGGCUGCACUGGUUGAUCUCAACAGGAGACCAGUUUGUUGCCUUCCUUAAUGUGGGAAAGACUGUAAGUGAAGACAAUGUCCUGAGACCGUUUAAUUGUUUCCAGAAGGUCUCUGGUUGAUUUAUGGUUCUUGUAGAGUCAUUGCAGCGGUUCCCCCCACCAGCAUCUGUUUUAAAACCAGUGUUGGGACUAAUUACUACUUGUGAUUAAUUAAAUAGGUCUGGGGAGCUUGCAAUCUCUUCUUGUCACUAUCUUUUAUUUUACCCUCUGUAUUUCCGUACAUCUAACCGUGUUUUUGUCUUCUGGAUUGGUAAUAUACUUUACCAUGGCUGGGGAUGUAAAACAUAGUAGUACCAUGUUUCAAGUUGUAUAUGAUUACUCACCUUGCCUUAUUUAAAUAUAAUAUAUACCUAUUAUAUUGUUUAUAUAUAUUAUAUAAACAAGGCUUUAAAUAAUAUUUAAAGCCUUGUUUAUAGAGAACCUGUACUUUGAAGAAAGGUUUGGGAUUUGCAAGGUCUUUUAAGACGUAACACAGGCUUUAAAUAUUAUGACAGUGGUUUACUUUAUACCGAGGUAGAGCACCAUGAUAAUUGUUAAAAAGCAAUAUUUCUCAUCAAACAAAGCUUAAAUUGCAUAAAUUGUUCAAUAAGAUUACUCAAAUAAAAAUAUGUAAGUUAAGCUAAAAGAAAAACAGUUUAAACCUCUGUUGUACAGUUUAACCCUCUUAUUUGCUGGUGCACUAAAACAAAUCCAAAAUGAUCAUUUUUAGGGAGAACAAUCUGCACUUGGUUCCAUUUGCUUCAAGGUAUAGUUUGGGUGUCUUGAAAUGGUGUUCAACACCAUAUCAACACCAAGUACUUUACUAUAAAUAUUCAGUGUGUGCUACAGUAAAGGCAGUUGGCAUGCCCCCAGUAUUGCAAAAUGGGCUGAUGUACAGAUACGAGAGCAAAGCAGUAUCUCUCUGUGGACACAUGUAUCAGUAACCCCAAUUUUACCCCCCUGAAAUUCAACAUACUUUUUAAAUGGACAAUAUAUUCAGGUUAUAUUCCCUGCUUUAUAUUUUCUCUCAGACAGACCUUUCUGAAGGGAAACUGAACGAAAAUGAAAUGUAUGUUUUCCGCUUUUAAGGCCGAAAGACUCCGUUGAGAAAACAUCCCGGAUAUGUUUUACUUCCAGUUUAGCUACAUGUUGGAAAAUAUUCUAAAUACAGCUACACUUAAAAGUGAGUCUAUUUCUUCGAUGGGUCAUUCUUUGAGGUGCCGAAAAUAGAUCUGUCUGCUGCCCCCCUUCACAGCAGUGCAUUGCUUUGCUCCGAUGCUAGUGUCUCUCCGAACAUGCUGUACGUAAUACACUGACCAUGAUUAAGUACCUCAUACAUCUUCAAAACACCCCAAAUGUAAAUUUAAUGGUAUCUUUCAUUAAAAAUAGGUAUUAUUGAACAAUAUGGACAUAAAUACAAACAUUGCCAAUAAGGAAUACACAACAAAAGUGUAACUUGGCAGAGUGCAUACCAACAUACAUGCUGAGAAGCCACAGCAUGGUUUACACGUCACACCGGACACUGGAGUUGUCGUAGGAAUGAGUGCUGAGCCUCCUUUGGAUAGAGACGCUCCAGUUCAUCCCCUCCAACUGUGACUUCUCCUCAGAUGAAAACAAAGAUUUUAACUAUCAAGUCAUACGGGUGUCUUUUUCAUCAAAUGAUUAAUUUCUUAAAAAUUCAAUCAAAUAUUUAUUUGCUUCUGCUACUCACCUUGGAAAUACCCAGGGCAACAGGAAAGAAGUUUCAUAUAAAUCCAGUCAGAUUGAGAAACAUCUUGAGAACACGACGUUCCCUUUAUUGUUUAACAACAUGAAGGAAAGGAAUUCCAAAGUCAUUCACAACAACUAAUGAAAUCUCUUCAGGUGAAAAUAAUUCCGAUCUGGCUUUCUUUGGAGCUGGGGUUAAAUGGAGAGAUUCCAUCAUGUAUGACCUAGUUAACUAUCAAGUAAUGGGAGUCAACAGGGCCAAGCGUUUGACAAUUUAUUCCAGGAUAAAGGAUGGAGAGAGAAAGGAACUUUUGAGUUUUAUGUCAGCCUUUCAGGUGUACUGUGGAAGAAGAAGUCAUUAGCUGUCCAAUUGAUUAACCUAUUUCUCAGCUCAAGCUCAUUAACACUAUAUAAUUUCACACAAUACUUGCCACCCAAAAGAAUACCAGGCUGUGUAAGAUUUAUAACUAACUAUAUGACUUAUAUAAAGUUCUUGGAGGGAAAUAAACCGAAACAAAUAGUCUGCCAGGCUUCCUCGAUGUAUAGCAGCCUCCUCUGUGGCUGAGUCUAUGUGGUGCAACGGAAGACUUUGGCACCCCAACUUGACAGCAGAAUGGUUUUCAGAUCAAGUGCUACCCUGUUGCUUAAUUGUAUAUCACUAGUGCUGCUACAUAGUUACUUAAACAUACCUCGUUACGACAGUAGCCCAUGCAAAUAUUUUGCCAAUGUCUAAACACACAACACAAAUUGGAUCUCUUGGAUAUAAGAGUUUGGAAAGGCUGUCUUAAGGAUUGGAUUUGAGGAUCAACUCCUGUUAUCAGAAACUUAUGCAUUCCUUCUUGGACCAUUUUAUGUUACCUCCAAACAAAGCAACGCAUUAGGUCUUUGUGUUUUCCAUCUAUCCUGAACCUAUAAAUACAAUAUCUCGGAGGGAGGGAAUUUUUUCGAAUUUGGCACAAACAUCGAAGAACUGGAUCCACAAGUCAGACUGAACUUCAGUCCCGAAGUUUAUUUUAACACACAGGUUGAUGGAGGUUGAUACUGGGGAGGCUGGAUGCUGGAGCUCCGGACGGGAACUGGCGAGGCAGGGAGAAGCACUGGUCAAGGCGGAGGAGCAGGACACAGAAUAAAACUGGGGAAGAAGCAGACGGCUGGAAGUUAAAGCCUGGACAGCAAUACCAGUACUAAUAGUUACGCAACAAAAUACUAUUCAAAAGAACAGCAGCCAGGAAGCAGAUUACCACAAGAGUAACUGACAAACUGGCAAAGACUGGAAGAUCAGACCGUGCUUAAAUACUGGAGGCGAGUAGAGGCAAGAAGAUCAGCAGCAGGUGGUAGGAAUUGCAAGAAGAUCCCAACUAGACCAGCUGACAACCAGGAGGGGAAGAAACUCAAAAGACAGACAGACCCAACAGAAAGCAAAAGGCCUAGCAACAAAAAAACCUGUAUAAAUACCUGUUCACCGAUUAUGUCAAAUGUAAAUGUAGAUAGUACAUCUGAAUUCUGCACAUUUCAAACUAUCACAGAUAGGAAUCAUGUACUGUUAGUAUUAUAUUAAAAACAAUCAUGUUUUGUAUCUUAAACAACCCUUUCUGGAAGAACAUCGUGAAGGCAACGGUACCCAUGUGCAGGGAACCCAGUAAAACAAGUACAGAGUGGCUCUGAGUAAAUGUACUAUGUUCUCAGAAGGAUCUAUCCACCACUACUUUACCAAAGUAGUUUGCUCUUGAUCUUGCUGGUGGAACCUUUAUCAGGUUGAGAUUCUCUCUCAGUUCUAAAUUGGUCUAGCGUUUUUUUCUAUGUCCUUUAAAGACUCAACCUAAGGCGUAAACUUAGCAAAAGAUGUGUAUUUUCAAAAAGAAGCGCAGCAGUGGGGAUGAAGCCUGGUUUGCAGCAACGAUGAAUCUCCAUGACAUUAGAAAAAGCCAAUCCGAAAACCAUUCUGAUACUGUUUUGAAUGCCUACUGAAAAUAAAGGCCUCCAUCCCCUAUCAGCAGAUCUUGUUUGAGAUGUAUUUUGACAAUGUGUCAGCCUUUGCUGUCCCGGAUUUAAUUGCUGUUUUGGAUACAGCAGAUCAUCAGAUUUUAAUGCAGAGCCUAAAAAAGAUUGUUGGUCUCUCAAGACUUGGGUAGAUUGCUUUAAAUCUUUCAUGUCCUGAAGCCCUUUCCCAGUCUAGGGAACGAGUGUGUUUUUCUCAGGCUAUUAAUAACAUAUGAGUGAUCUCAACAGGUCCCAUGCUGCCUUUGGGGCUCCUUUCAUUAUAUUUGCUCCCAUCAGAGAAACGGUUCAAAUGAAACAAUGUUAAUUUUAGAGCCUACACCUCUGUGUGUGUAGAUCAAUAUGGACAGAUUGGUUAUAAAAUCACUCAUCAUGCUGUCAGUCCUUUACUGCAAGAAGGUUGUUUCUUUCAUGUCCAAAUUGGUUUAAAUGUCAGCACAAUCCCUUGUGUACUCUCUACAGGGGACCUUGGUUACACGGCUUAAAUGUUUUCCAUCUUCUUGCUCUAUAAUGCUAUUACCUUACCUUCCUUUGCUCUUUGCUAAUACCAAAAAAGAAUACAUGGUAUUAGAAUAACUUCAUACCUCGACACUAAAGGAGGGUGUGGCUGCUAUUACACCGCAGCGUGGUGGUGUGAUGGCUGGCACUUGUGAUGGCCCGGAUGUCCUCACAUCUGGGCCCAUGUUUCCUCUCCGUCCCCAGUCUGCAUAUUCCCACACUUCCUCUAGCAGUCAAAAAAAACAGGCAGCUUGUUUAAAACUGACUACUAAUCUUCCGCUGGUGUGAAUAUGAAAAUUAUUGGUUGUUUGUCUUUAUAUGUUUGCCCUGCAAUGUCAAUAUUCAGUGACCCUGAGCAGGUAGAGUGGUUAAAGCUUGGGUCAAUAUUGACGGAGGAGAGUGUUCCUCUCCUUGCAAGGGGCACUGAUGCUGAACCCUGAACUCAGGUAGAGCCCAAGUGGCUGUGUAAAGGGGAACCGUAUGUACAGUAUGUAUUGACCUUGCCCUUUGAGGGCUCGGGCGUAACUCUGCGGCCUAGCACAGCGUUUCUCGUAAAGUUAGUAGUCGUGUGAGAGGAGAGGAAUAGUCGAUGCUGUUGUGCCCAGUUCUGGCCAUCGGAGCCUCUGUAGAGGCCAACAGGCAUUGGAACAGCUCUUUGUCUGUAAUGGCAGUCUGAAGGGAACCUGUGCUUUUUCCAAACAAAUUGUUUCUGCAUAUUUGCUGAAAGAACGUGCCCUGCCAUCUUUAUGAGCUAGGUGAUUGGGAUUCCUCAUGACUCGGUUGAUAAAAGUCAUUCGUGUUCAGCACUGCCUCUGGCAUUCAGUAACAAUGAAAUAGAUUGAAUCUCGCAUAUGUAACUACAGCUCUAUAAAUCCCAGUGUUCUUCAAUCACAAUUUCCUGAACUGGCACAAAGAUUCUGAAGGGAGGUUAACCCAUUUCAUCUCAAAGAUAUGAAAAUAUUUUAAUGUCAUUUGCAAUAAACAAUCAUUAUUUCACUGUUUUAUUUUCAUGAAAAAGCAGGUGUUUGGUUAACCUGUAGAAUACUAUGUAAACAUGUGUUGAUAUGUGGAUUCAACCCGCUCAUUUCCUGCAGAGAACCACAGUUUCAGACCUGGAGGUAGUAAGACUCAAGCCGACCGAUUCACACUGUGCUGCCAAGUCCAAGAUGAAGGUCACGAUUGGAGGGUUUUGCAAAUAAAUCCCAGUAGAUCAGCAGUUCUGAAAUGCUAACCCAUCUGGCACUAGCAACUGUUUCAGUUAAAAGUCACCUUUCUUUCACACUUUUUAUACUUGGUUUGAACUCCAGCAGAUUGCCUUGACUAUAUCGACAUGCUAAAAUACCAUUAGCUGAUCAAUUUUUUUUGCUAACAAGCAUUUGUAACUGAUGAAGUUGGGGUAUUGGGGUAUUUGGAAAGAGAGAAGGGGAAACUCUGGUUUCCUCCAGAGCUGGAAUCAAUGUAAAAGUAGACAAAAGGAUAGCGUAGACUUGGGUAGAACCAGAACUGCGUAUGUACUGUACAAAAGUAUUUCAUAACACCAUCCUCUCAUCAUGGUGGACGUUCAAGGACAUUAACAGCUAUGGUCAUGUGACCAUCUAUACUAAACGUGUGACUGCACAUAUGUCAUUGAGACCCUUAAUUAUUUCAAUAUAUAUCCUAUAUAUAUAUAUUGAUAUUCCAUUCAGUAAAAGCACUGAAAAGUGGUUUACAGUCACUUUGUGAAUAAAUACAUCUGGCACUCAUCCAGGAUUUAUUGAACUUUAAUUACAUCCGUAACUCUCGUUAUCAUUGUCCUCCUCAUAACCACCACAAAAAACUUCCCAUGAAGGUGAAUCGAAAAAGUCCUUCAGAGCCACAUCAGCCUUACCUUGUCACUGUGUGGUCUGUUGAUGGGCAAGAGGCGCCCCCAAGGCGAGGGGGAGGUGAUGACCUGCAUGCUUCCUUGGUGCUGGUAUGAAAUCUAUUCAGUAUUUUAUGGUCUGUGGGGUUGCAUGUGACAUAUGGAGUGAAUGUUGACCGAGUGGACGUUCAAAGGCUAGUCACCACUUCACUGCUAUGGCGACAGCACUCUCAUGGUAGAUAGUAAGGCCUAAUGCUAAAGGCUAAUAACUCAGUGGCCUUACCUCAAAGUAUUACAUUUAUAUUGAUGUGCUCGUCUACGAAUACUUCCCAAUCUCCUCCCUUGUACUUUCCGCUCUCCUUGUCCGCCCACAUUGUCUGGUUCAAAGCGUCGUGGAGCUAGUGCUAUUAGUCACGUCUCUGUAAACACUCCUGGUAUUCCCUCUGAUCACUGACCAUUUACCCAUCUCGUUGGGGAAGAUUCCCCAUGAUGAUCGAGGGGAGGACGAGUGUGUGAGUUCUCAUCCUGGGGCGGCGCUUGUUUGAAACCUUGGGUCUCUCCUCCAGCAGCAAACUAAUCCUUGGUGUAAAGAAUCAGGUAAAAAUCAUGUAAAAACCAUGGACCACGGUGGUACAGUACAGCCACCACAGGUCAAAUGUCAAUGGUACACAUAAAUCUUCAAAAAUAAAUUAAAACUAAAAAACAUAAGACAUAAGACAGUGAGCAGGAGCUGAUAGAGUGUGGCCACUUGAACUAAGUCAUAUUUAAACUUUGAAUUCAGUUAAUUUUAAUUUAUUAUCAGAUUUAUUUAUUAAAACAUAAUUUUGCGCUAAAUUAUAUCUACUCUGUCAGCCUUUUAAAGGUGGCCAUUUUUUAUGAACUCAAAUAUAAGCACCAUGAUGCAUAAUAUCAUUAUAAGGAAUUUAUUAUGAACCGCUUCAGAAAAGUUGUCUGACGUCACACAACAAAUACAAAGUAAUUUUGGUUUAUCAGUGAUAAUGGUGCCAAAAUAUAUUUCUGUCACAGUCAAAAUUAGCUCAGUUCCAUUAGUGAGUAUUGUCAGAAUUUUGCCAAACAACACUGAUUGCUCAGACUCCAAUUGACCUUUGACCAACAGAAUCUGAAGCUGCAGUGAGAACUGUAUAGGGAGGGUGGGUGAGUGAUGGGAGGUGGACGUUAUUGAUUAAGUCCUAGCUCUGUUAUCAUACACUCUAGGGCUACCUGAGCAGGAAGGAAACGGAGACAGGCUCUAGGGGGGAAACAUUCUUAUAAGCUCCUUGUGACAUUUUGAUUCCUUUGUUGUGGCGCUGCACUGAUAAGUCAACGUUAUUACUGGCUUUCUUUAGCGCCGGGAAAGGCGGCCGGCUGAAACUUGCUGACAACAGGGACAGCGAUACUGUGAACAUGAAAACUUUAUUGUGGUCUAUUAAAGCUGUAAAUCACAGGUCUCUGCCUGUAUGAAGGACACAGAGAACUGUGCCACAUGGUGCAGAGCACCAGAUCCUGGUCUCCAUGGGGGCUUGGGACAGGCUCGGUUUACCCAGUGCUGAAGAAUCCUUGGGGCUGUGGACACAAGCACCGUGUCUUGUAUUAUUUUCUUUCAGCUUAAGGUUAUUAACCCCAAAAGCAAAUUACAUCACGAUAGUACAUGUUUUCCCGUUUUAUUUACCUACCACAGCCCUUAGCGGGGUGACUAAUAGGCCCCAGGUUUGUAGGUUGUCUUGAGGGACAUAUGGUAGAUUUGCAUGGGUAGCGAGCCGAGAGUUAAACAUGACCGCAAUUCUGGAGGGACCCGUGUCCCACUAAAGCAGGCUUCUGAGUCAUUCUGAGCUGCAGCGCUCUGCCGUAUGAAGAGAAGGAAGGGGGCAGUCCGAGGGGAGUGAUCUCCUCUCCACUUGGACAGCUGCUGUGGAUAUCAGAAUCCCACCAGUUGGCCUGAUUUAGAACAUUCUGCCACCUGGGGAAAAAAAAAUGAUGCAGUCCUUACAGUGAUAGGCCUCACUGGGAUAGUCGCUCUUGGUGUCCCACCAGUUACUUUGAGCAAAGAAACAGGCCAAAAGAGAUUCUUCUUUGUGUAAUGUUUUAUUUUGUAGCUUCCUGCCUGACCCUGAUGGUUUCCUCCUGUAUCCAAUCACCUGCACCUUUACAGUGUAUUUAAACCAUAUGUGUCUCUUGUUUCUUGUCGGUUCAUUGAAUGCCUUUGUGAUGAGUCUGAAUGUGUUUUGUUUGCUCCUGGCUUGAUCCCCGGUUUGGCCCUAGGCAUCUCUGAUUUGGAAUGUCAAUAAAGUUUAACCCUGUAAUUGAGUCCUGCUUCGCCACGCUGCCGCUGUGACAUAAACACAUAUACUUGCACAUAUCCAAACCGCUCUGAUUCAUAAACAAAAACUUUUUUCCACCCGUUGCUUAAUUUCAGUUAUGUUGAAUUUUGGUUUCACAGAUGACAUUAACUUUGGUCUCCUCGGUGAAAAUCCAGUGUUGGUUUGACCAGUCCUUUGCCCACGCCAGCUUUGUCAACUUUACUGCUACAUCACCUGACUAUAUCGUUCUAAACGUCUGAUAACCUCGCUAAAGUCGAUAAUGUUAUCCAGACCAGGACCUAAAGCUAAAACAGACCGUUGUGAUUCAACUCGACGGGCACUUUUUGACUAGCCCAAUUUUGGAAGUGGUUUAAAGCACAGACCAAUUGCAUUUGAGUUAAGCCAUCCCACGUGAUACCACUGGACCAAUCCAGUCUUCACAUUCCAGGCUGGAUGGUAUCGUCUCAAUACUGCAGACAGAUUAGAGAGAUUGCGGCAAAUUACAAAUAAAAAGACAGAAGAAAAACAAAGUACCGAAAUUUGAGAAUAACACUAGUGAGAUGGAGAAAGCGAGGGAAAGGGCCGGUGACAAAAAUAACAUAAAAAAUGGCGCUCUCCAAAAAGACAAAGUGGAGAGUGAAAGAAGAAAAUACUCUAGAAUGAACAGACUGGUUUCUCUUCUAGUGUGUGUCAUAUGGUUAAAAACCAUAGCAAACGCCAUCACGAGGCACUAUAAUAUAUACACAUAUACUUAUUUAUAUUUUAUUUUAUUUUGAAAUACAGCCCUACUUUUAUUUAGUUAUUGAGAGAACAUUAUUUAUAUUUGCAGUCAAAUAUAUAUGUUCAGUUUCGUCUCAAAGAGUUUUUGAAUCAUACUCAAUUCAUCUGAUUUGUCAAUCAUAUAUUAAAUAAAUGCAGAUGUCGAUGCAACUCUAUCUCGCUAUAUUUAAUCACACUAAAUAGUUACAUUAUGAUCUUCCGGACCUUUGUUUCUAGAAAUUGUGUCUAAUUGGACCUCUCUACAUUUCAGUUGAAUACCCCUGCCCUAGAGGCUGACUCGUCAUAUCAGACCUUGAGCGCUGCGACAAAGCGUUGCUAUGGAAACACGAGCAGACCUAUGAACACACAUAUCUUCAUCACAUACCCGUAAAUUCAGUCUUUAAAACUUUUAACUAAAUGCAGCCUGAUUCAUCACUGUCAUCUUUUCAUUGCUAAAGGACUAUAGAUGCAGAGUCCAGAGUUGAGGCGUUUGUCUUAAAGGCUUGAAUAGAGACGCUAAAUCCUUUCCCAGCCUCUGGUUGGUCCUCAUAUACAUGGGAAUACAUUGCUUAAGGGUCAUUGGGACAGCUCACACACACGUUACCACAUAACGCCCCGGGGCUGAUGGAGUGUUUGGGAGUAUCAGCCGUGUGUUUACUUGUGUUUCCCGGUCAGGGGUGAGAGGAUCAGAAAACACCCUUGAGGGGUGUGAGGGUUGUGGGGGUUGUGGGGGUUGGUGUGGGCAGCAAUCGCAAGUUAAUGUUUCACAUCCAACAGAUUAGGACCAAGCCGCCAGACGCCGAGUCCAAGCAGACACCCGGGAGUGAAGGGUAAUGGAUCAGAGAAAUGAGUCCACGCUCGGUUCGGGAAGGAGAGGCACGUCAAACCACAGCAAGCCUCUCACAGAGCCCUCAUUAGCGGGCAGCUGCUCCACCACCACCGCUGUCCCGGAAGCUUUACAGAGAAGACACAUUUGAAAGUAUGGAAGAAGUAUAGAAGUUAAGAGUUAGAAUGGACAUAUCUAUCUAAUGGCUACGACAAAGUAACAUAAACACUGACUUGAUAUGCAAUAAUGUAACUGAAACAAAUGAGAUGGAAACACUUUUAUUUGAAAUGAUUAACCAACCCCAAAGGUGAGCAUCUCUUACCAGACAUUUUGAAUCCAUCUUGUAUUGUCAUAUUAGCAAGUACUGUGCCACCGGGGGCGGGAUUAGACCCGCCUCACUCACAAAACUGUGCACUGACCAGCAGUGGCCCGGAGGCCUGAAAUGAUUGCUCUGUCCUUUAAUGUAUUUAGGCUUUAAGGUUGAGAAAUGCUCUCACAUUUUGUUUUAUUUAGAUCUUUAACAGGCUGAUAUUUAAUGUUUUAUUUAUUUACGUACGUGCACUAUAACACAGGCUUAACAACUUGUCAGUUCAAAGAAGAAUACUGAUUCUGUAUUAAAACAAACCCAACAUCAAAAGAUCAAAUGCGUGACAGGGGGAAACCGAUCUAAAUAAUUAAAAGAGCCAUGCUUUAUUCCUGGCUGCCUUGAGGCUUCAGUCAAACAGAACAGUUCCACACUUGACAACGUGAGGCUCUUCAUGUCUUUUGAAACAAAGCCUGUUUGAAUAAACUUUGCACUAUCCUGUAAGAGGAAUGACAUUAGGCCCGACAGCCAUUAAUGCCUUCCUGUUUUUCUCUUGUGUAAAGCAGUCAGGCCAAGUACACAUUUCUAGAAGAUGGAUAUGUGGAUCUUCUGAGGAGCAGCACCCGAGCAUCAGGUGGAUCUCAUGCGAGGAGUCGUGCAGCUCCUACAGGCCCUUUGUAUGUGUGAUGGUGAUGUGUCGCUACAUUGUGACAGCAGCUAUUAACCAGUCGUGUGGACAUUACCCAGCAUCAGUGGGCUGUGUGCCCUUUUCUGGCCAUGAUACUGGUUCAUCAGCUGGAACUCUGUUGUAAGCAUGUACAUACAGAACAAAAUGGUUGCUUAAGAAGAAGAACAAACGUUAAUACAUUUUGCAAUAUUCCACAAACUGUAAAACAUCAACAAACAAAGAAUUUAGGAGGCUGUUGUUUUAAAUUCAAAAAGUGCUUUUUAAAUAUGAAGAUAUUAAACAAGUGUGAUAUUUACAUUUCAGCGUUUCCUAUUGAUAUUGAUGAGAUUGUUGUUCCUGGUUAAAAUAACAACAUGCAGGUGCUUGGUGUUUGAGAAACAUCUAUUUUGUAAUGUCAGGGUCGAGGGUGGAAGGCAGGACUCAAAUGCAGACUUCUCCAAACAAAACACUUUAAUAGUCAAAAGGUCAAAAACACAGGAACCGGGGGCAAAAGCACAUAGGCAAAAAACUACAGCGAUCCAGGACGAAAGACAAGAACAAGCGUGGCAAAAGACAAUGACGCGACAAGUGACACAAGAGACACACGGCUUAAAUACACAAGGGAGGUGCAGGUGAUUGGACACAGGUGGAAACUAUUAGACAAUCACAGGGGACAACGGGACAAGGCAGGAAGUGAAGUUACCCGGGGACACAAGUGGCAGAAAACUACAAAAUAUAACAUGAAGUGAACCACACCGUGACAUUGUAAUUUACUAUGCAAAUGCUAAGAAGAAAACCUUGAAGCAGUGAGGUGACUGCAAGAGAAGACAGGUGGUUUAUUGAAUUAAAUCUGGUAAGCUAAAUUUAGACUGUGAAAGAUGCAGCCGACAAGUGUGGAUGAGAUCUAAGAAGGGUGUAUGUGUAGGUGAGUGUGUGUGUGUUAGAUUGUGGAGUCAAAUUUAAGAAAAAUGUCUAAGCAAAAUAUUCAGAUAUCAAGGGACUUUGUGAUAACCACACAAGCAGCAUGCUGCCACAUUCACUGUGAUGAAACAUUUAAUAUCUAAUGGCAUCUGUCCGGCAGCACCUGCAUUUCAAUAUUGUGACCAUAAAAUGACGGCUCAGUUAUAACUUUUAAUAUGGUAACCCUUGACAGAUGUGAGAGUGCAAAAAUAGCAGAAUUUUUGCCCCCACUGACUAAAAACCAAUUUCAUAAGAAAUUGGGGGCAUUUUAUGAAACUUGUGAAAUAACAUUCAACCUUUGUUAAAAAUAAUAAAUUAACUUAUUUUCCUGUAUGUGUAAUUGUCAUCAAAUAGCACUAAUAAGACUAUUAGGCAGUAGUGUACAGAUUCUGUACAGUUUUCUUUUGAACCAAAUCAAACAGAAAACAUAAAUCAGACUCAUUCAAUUUUAUUUUUAGUUUCUCGUGUUUAGCUUGACCAUUUUGCAGAACGCAGAAUGUUAUUGAGCCGAUUACUUCAUGCUUCUGUAAAAACAAAACACUAAAUAUUUAAACCUUGAGACCAGUCAACUGCGUCUCACUAAUGUUCACAGCAAAAGCGAAGCAAAUUAUUUGAAUGAGUAGAUUCCAUGCAAAGUCAAUGCACAGAAGCGCAUGUUUGUGGAGGAAGCAAAUUUUCAACGCAAAUUCUCAACACAAUGCUGCAUGGGGGACCCGAAAAAGCUAAAGGAGAGAAGCGAAUGAAUAGCUUUUUCACCAAAGGUAAAAUAUUUCAACAACGCUGUCCUGCGAAAGCCAAUCAGCAUUGAGAUCCUCUCCUCCGCUCGUUAUCGCCGCCGUCCUACUGCCAAAGCGUGAAUACACUUUAUGAAACUGUCACUUACCGAGACAGACAGCUCAGAUUGAAAGAUCGUAAGUUAAUGUGCAACGUUUGUGUUAUUUCCACAACAGGUACAGAGCACAAAUAGUGUAUUUCCAUAGUGGAUAGCGGAAAUGAUAACUGCCUUUACAGAGAUAAGCCACACCCCCUUUCCAAAAAAUUCUCUCACCGACUGCACUCUGUCUAACAUUGGCUAACUUAGCUAGGUUAGCUAGCACGCCCCCAUAGCUAACUAAUCAGAACUAGCUAACGUUAGCCAACUAAAUCAUUUCAAAAUAAUGAAUACUUAGUCAUCACUCACCAUCAUAAGAAUUUGCUGGUGCAAGGUUGGCAACGAUGUUGCUUGACAGAUGCCAAUGUGGUGUACUGUGCUUUUGGACACACUACCUAUAUGAUAUUAGAUACUGUGAAUGCCACAUACAUCAUGUUGUGUAGCAAAAAGAGAAAUGCCAUAUUUUUAAUCAGCUUCCACUGUUUGUGGUUGCAGGUCAGCGUGUGAGGAAGCUAAAAUGGACUUUUCUAUAAGCGGAGCGAGAGGGCCUCGGGGCAUACAGUCCACGCUUGGGCCGCCCCCCUCAUCCCCCAAGGACUCAGGCUUUUCUUCUUUCAGAACAUUGGGUCAUUACUGUGGAGAGUGUGAGAGGGGAACAUUGUGCUCACUUCAGACAAAAAAGAGCAACAGGUGAAAGAUGGAAUCUAGUGUGAUAGAUUUGACAAUAGCCCCCAAAUACCACUAUCACCAAGGGAACUCAACAUCAAACACAAAAGAAGGGGGGGUUAUCAUCUCGGUCAACGUAAGCGGGGGAGGUUGAGUCUUCUUAAUCGCUUCAUCAUACCAUAGAAGAGAAGCUAAAAGCUGAACUUAAAACUCAAAAUGUAGCUGCACAAGCGCUAUGUAAAACGGAGUCAAAGAGAAACAAAAGGGACAGACCACAACCUCUUUGGUGGUGGAUUUCAGUUUGUACAACCUUCUGACUAAUUAACUCUAUCUUCUAACUUUAACAUGUGGUGAGGUACGUAGGACUUUCAGUAACACCCCCACACAGAACACACUGGACAUUCAGAUGUUUCAAAUCACAGAGAUGUAUUGGAAUCACACAGACUCUAAUGAAACAAGCUCUUUCCAGAAAGACACAUACGAGGCAGUUGUACAUAAUAAUACCACAUUUGACGCAUUCAUUCAUUUCAUAUUGGGGGGGACGUCUCCAUCUCCUUUAUUUGGGUUCUGAUCAUAACCAGUUUCUUGAUGUUUUUAACACAAUGCUCCAAAUGAUCCUCUAUCCGUUUAUAGUAACCUCAUGUUGGCCUCCACCUCGUCUCUCCAAGUUUCUAAAUAUGGCUGGACAAAGAAAUACAUCAUCAAACAACUUGGAUGGAUGAGUUCCAAAACACACUGUGUUCAGUUGAACGCCAAAGCGUAUUUAGUCACAUUAAACAAACGUGAACAUAAAGAUCUGAACACAUAAAGAUCUGAACACUAAUUAUGAUUAUAUGGAAACGAGGGAUUGAAACGUGUUGGAACCCACAAAACACAUUUUUCCCUUACAAGCCAUAAAAGUGACUGAUUGUGAACAGGUUGAUAAAGCACAAGGAGCUGUUGUGCUAUUGGACAAUAUCAACCCUUAGGUAAUAGGAAAGGAGCAUUUUAACAUCUGGUCAUUUCUUUAUGGGUCAGUGCCUGGACCAGUGGUGGAACAUCUAGGCCUGGCUUACUGCAUCUAUGAACUCACAUGUGGUAUCUUGAGAUUGGCUACAAGACUAUUCAGGUGUUAUUUCCACUUUUGCAGCACAACAUUGGUAUUGUAGGUUUGGCUUAGAAACCUGUAGCAGGCAGGGAGUGUCCAAUAAAAAUACUAUAAAAGAUGUGUCCUAAGUGCUUAACACAUACAUUUUCAAUGAUAUUUGUUUCACUAUAUGACCAGACUUACUACUUGGCUGCAUGAUGAAUGCUUGGUACCGGAACAGAUGGAGCCAAGCAUCCCAGAAGACCUCUCAGCCGGUGUGGUCCAAUCUACUGUGAUCCAAUCUGAAAAAAGGCAUUGCUUAUUUACACAGAUACACAAGAGGAGACACAGAGACUGAACAGCUGCUACGAGCACUUGGAACCCCAAGCCGAAAAUGAACCUCCACAGAGACCAAGGCAAUCACCGGUGUCCCUGUAGACCAGGGGUGCCCACACUUUUCCGGCUCGCGAGCUACUUUUCAACUGACCAAGUCAUGGCGAUCUCCUCCCUCCCCAUGGAGGACCGCCCGGCGGGGGGGGGGGGGACCGUAAUAACGGUUACCAAGUGGAACAGCAGGACUGAAGUCAGCGCAAAACGAGUCGAUAUGGAGAAAACAACUAGCCUCUCAUCUGUCACAAGGAGGGAACCGUCACAAGCAUCCCGCACAUUCUUUAGAAUAAAAUUAAAUGCGUCCGUUAGUAAGCAAGGGUCGCUAAUUAGCAUUAGUUCCGGUCAUCUCCCGCGGGAAUGGGCCGCGCAUAUGGGUCAUUCUUUUAAUUGAUUGCAUGCGAUCGACUGGUACUGCCUUCAAGACAGACUGGUUGAUCGCGAUCAACCUAUUGGGGAACACUGCAGUUACAUUUAGAUAUUUAGACAGUUGACAAAGAUCUUGCAAACCUGUGCUUUUGUCAUUACACAUCUCCAAAAUGAAUGAAGUUGCUGUAAGUGAAUGUAAUGACAGCUUAAGGUUUAAAGGUAAUUUUCAUAUCAGUCUGAAACAUUUAAGAAUUAGACCUAAGAGUAGUUCUGAGUAAAUGGUAGAGGCUUUGGCUAUAACUAACUUUAAGGCUUAGUCUAUGGGGAUGCAGAAACAUUUUUUAUGAAAAAAUAAACACUUCAGAACACAUGCAUUAACAUCAAUCAAUGCGAUCUAUUUUUAACUGCAGUUGAAAGUAAACAAGUACAAUCAAUGUUGACCUUAUUUACCUGUUGUCUUGAUAAUACAAUAAUGCCAUCAGAAGGGCAUCAGUAAUGGUGGUUGGUCAUGAAUACCACUUUGCUACAAAUACCCAAAUUGUUUUCAUUUAGUCAUCACUUCCUCAAUUUGCAGAUUUUUUGGCCGCUAAAAUAAAACCAACAAUUCUUGCAAAUAUUUCAAAUGAAAAGCCAGAAAUCUUUUGACAUUAAAUAUCCGUGCAUGAAGACUGGGGGGGCUGUACUGCUGUAAACAGUGUGGCUACCAAAGGGUGGAGCAGAUCUUCUAUCAGCUGAGGUGGUGCUGAGCGGAGACUUCGAAAGCCAGCAGGUUGAAACAUCAGGUAGUCUGCAGAAAAAGAUUGGUUUAAAAGAUGGGGAUGGGAUAUAAAACUUGUAAAAUCUGCAUAAACGAGACAGCACUGAAGCAAUCAAACGGCAAUAGGCUUGAUAUCACACCCAAUACGGUGACAAAAUAAUAAAAGAUCCAAAUGUAGUUGGAAAAACACUAAAACCUAUGUAUAUCUAAAAGCUCCGACCCUCUUUCCUCCUCUCCGGGAGCGAUGUGACUGCACAGACAGGAGCAGGACCUCUUAACAGUUAUUACAUGGUCGUAGCAGGUAUAUAACAAUAACAUGACACAAUGUAACCACUCAUGCUCAAAUAUGAUUUUUUCUUUUAAAGCUCAAUGCUCUACAAACAGAAGCAAAGUAAGAAAAUGUCUCCCUAUUCAUGCACAUCAAUGGGUCUUUUCUCCAUUUGUAGCAUUUUGUUGGGAACCUGGGGAUAAUGAUUUCUUGUGCUUGUGUUUUGCCUACUUGCAUAUGUUUUCUCAUUCGCAGUGCUUCGAGCUCCCAGGGCCAGCCUGACCCCUUCUCCUCUGAUCCACAAUAACAGGAUUCCUGCUGGCUCAAAGAGUGUUUGGAUUCCAAACAAUAGAUGGUGAGGUGUACAUAAUGAUGGAGAAGACAGAGCUGAAUGACAUUCCCUUGUGCGUAUUCAUGCUGAGAGCCUCUGCAGCUUCAUUUGUAUUGUGCAGUAAGGAUCACUAUAAUGCUCGGCUGAAUACCAAUGAAGCAACAUCUCAGUUACAUUCAAAGUCAAGUGUAAAAUCACUGUGAUUUGCAUUUUAUUUAAUCAAACUUUCUCUGAGCCUUUCUAAAAGCAAUAUGAAGCAGAUUAGUGUGUGUGUGUGUGUGUGUGUGUGUGUGUGUGUGUGUGUGUGUGUGUGUGUGUGUGUGUGUGUGUGUGUGUGUCUGUGAUAUAACAUUGCUGCAUUUCCCUCUCGGAGUGAUCAGCCUGCACUUUUUUCGAAGUGGCAUUUUAAAGUGUUCUCUGGCAAAAUCAUUUAAAGCACACAAUGUUCACAUCAGGGCGAACAUGAAUAUACUGUUUCAAGUUGUAACUUGAGAGGAGAGGAAACUGAGCACAGGCUGGUACAUAAUGGCUCCCAUACUGGAUCAUUGAGUAUAGUUGUAAAGGUAUUUUUAAACCUCUAUCAUAGUGGGCGGUCGGGGCUUCUGCUAUUGUGUCUUCAAUUGUAUGAAUUCAAUGUGUUUCAUGUGUGGUGAAAAGAUGAUAAGAGAGUUCAAAUAUACCGUUUGUGCUAUUGUGUGUGAAAAUGUCACAUUUCACACAGUCCUCAGCCAUCUUCAACCAAGAGCUGCAAGCUUCUAAACACGAUCAUACAUUGUAAGCAAACUUUGGCUGGUGCUCAGAGAACAUUUGGAGGUAACGGAGUAUCGGCACUGGGCAUACUACCAGAUGUUAAUCCCCAAAUCACUAAAUAUGACAAUGAGAAACAUUGCAGCAUUACGUUUAUGCAGGGAAUUCUUCUAAAGGAUAACUACUACUACAACUACUACUACUACUGUACAAUUAACCCCAAACGGUAAUUGUUGUUAAUGUUAUUUUAAACACAAAACUACACACAUUUGAUCAUCUUGGAGGUAGAAUUUCCCCUUAUGGUUCAACAUGUUGAACUGUUGUCCUCGUGCACUCUGCUCUCAACUCUCCAUAAUGUAACGCCUGUAUUUGAAGUGCCAACAAUCUCCCCACAUUUAGCCAGAACGUUUUCAAAUCAAGGUCUUUUAGGGACACCGUGGUGGUCCUCUGCAGACUGUGUGCCGCACAGGGUAACGUUAGAUGUUGAGAUGGAGGCAGCCUAGCUGCUACCUUAGCCUGGCAGCUAGUUUAGCCUAGCAGUGCUUUAAGUGGUCCGUUUGUCACUCACUCACUUUCUGUUUGACACGUGGAGUAAUUCCUCUGCACCACUGUAUGUUGCGCCUCUGUUUGUUUUACUUCCAAUGCAAAAAUCUUUCCAUCUUGAUGUAACUGGUUGCAGUUAGCGGCCGUUUUGUUUCCACGGUCAACUUCAGUUAACCAGAAGUAAACAAACGUACGUUAACUAUGUUAAAAUAUUUUGUUGGAUUAAUCGCGGCCGCAUUAAUCGCAUAGAUUAAUGCAUUUAUGUUGACAGUCCUAGCAAUUAUAGAUAUUUCAUUCUUCAUAUCAGUUUUUUUUGGAAACUGCAGCCACGUAGCCAGACUGAUGACAACCCCCUCUCCCUGUGCAAUCAAUGCCAUCCACUGUGAAGAGCUGAGCACACCCUCAAAGGGCGCGUAGUCAUGAUACCAACGGGUAAACACGUUUCCCCUUCAUCAUCUACAGUGUGUACAGUGUCCAUCAAGAAUAAAGCAUGGAGGUCUGAUCCACCUGAUUAAGGGAUGCAAAAAAAAGAGUGCGUAGCGUGGGCCCUGAGGAGAGAAGGCCUGUUCCAUGAGAUGUCCCGUCCUGGGGGGACCUAUUCCAAUAAACAUGCAUGAGAUGGGAUACAAGCUGAAACUUGUUACGAGACACCUCUGAAAGCCAUUUUUAUGAAGAUCAUGUAUUUUGAGGUCUUUGUUUCUAAAUAAAACCAGGUUUUCAAGUUAUCCACAACUAACGGAGCACUGGUCAAACUUGACAUUGAUGAAGCUCAUGUGAUGGCAAUCAAAAGCUCCAGAACCGCUAGAGAGACAUUUAAUAGAACACUUGAUGUUUAUUUGAAAAAUUGAUUGUAUCAACUGUGUUUCACGGUCUUCCUCUGUGUUUUCUCAGUUGCCAUGGAGAUGGUUCCGUCGUCAUCCCAUCUUGUAGUACACAGUGUCCACCAUCUCCUCAAUGGCCAUUCAAAGUCCAUUUGUGCGUGAAAACAAGGAUACGUCGUAGAAGAUCCGACGCAAAGCCUGUAAGUGCGCAUUGAGUGAAUAUAUAAUGCAGUUAAAACACAGAUCGUAUGAGGGGAUGUUUAAAGGUGCUCUCCGUCAGGCUGCACCCUUCAGAAACCAAAAGCCUGGAGUCAUGUUGAUUUCCAAAAUAAGCCGUUUGAGGCUGAGGCUGAGUAACUGCUCCGAUCAAUGACCCACGGCCAGUGUGAUUCUGAGGAGCAUGACGUCUUCAAGGCCGGACUCACAGGGAGGAGCACAUUGCCCAUGCAUGGCCAAUAAAGCCCAUUGUGAUCUUAACGAUGCCACAGCAUGUGUGAGGUGUAAAGGGGGUGGGAGUGCGUCC